ACUCCUACGGGAGGCAGCAGUGGGAAUAUUGCACAAUGGGGGAAAGCCCUCGAUGCAGCCAUGCCGCGUGUGUGAAGAAGGCCUUCGGGUUGUAAAGCACUUUCAGUUGUGAGGAAGGUGGUGUUGUUAAUAGCAACAUCAUUUGACGUUACCUACAGAAGAAGCACCGGCUAACUCCGUGCCAGCAGCCGCGGUAAUACGGAGGGUGCGAGCGUUAAUCGGAAUUACUGGGCGUAAAGCGCAUGCAGGCGGCCUGUUAAGUCAGAUGUGAAAGCCCGGGGCUUAACCUCGGAAUUGCAUUUGAAACUGGCAGGCUAGAGUCUUGUAGAGGGGUGAG
rnacentral:rRNA from 1 species